rnacentral:tRNA from 1 species
GGGCCUGUAGCUCAGUGGAAUAGAGCACGUGGCUACGAACCACGGUGUCGGGGGUUCGAAUCCCUCCUCGCCCA